UCAUUAAUCCACAUGGCAAUCAUAGAGUUUUCCUAAAAACUGAUGUGGCUGCAUCAAAAUCAUUCUCUUAUUCAGUAAUCAUACUAUGUAUAUGAUGUUUAGAUUUGUCGCUUGGUUCGAAUAUCAGGUGACAAAAGCUCUAGAGGAACAACUCCUUCAAUACCAUGAUCAAUAAACGUAGAAAAAUUAACUAAAAUAUAAUAAGAUAAAAGUAGGAAAAAAGAAAAAGAUAAAGAUAAAGGCAGAAAAAAAAUUUUAGAAAAAGAGGGAGGAAAGAACAAAAGUAGUUGUCAAAAGUUUUUCUUUUUUGAUUUGUAAAUAGGAAUUGAUUUGAAAUAAAUAUCAAACAUCUUUUAUUGGUUAUCAAAGAAGUUGAGUACAUAAUAUGUAUGAAAUGGUUUUUAAAUACUCCCUCCGUCCCAUUUUAAUUGUUUCUUUCAAUUUUACAUAUAAUUUAAGAAAUUACAUUAUUACUCCCCUUCAAUUUGACAUUUAUACCCUCAUUUAUAGAGGAUAAUUAAGAUGUCAAUGACUCAUUGGGAAUUCAUUCCAUCAGCUUCUCAAUUUAAAGAUAAAUAAGGGCAAGAGGAAAAAUGGAUGAAAUUAGUUUUAAUUAAUUGAAAUGGACAUAUAUUUUGAGACAUCCCAAAAAAGAAUAGAGGACAAUUAAAAUGAGACUGAGGGAGUAAAUUUCAUGUGUAUUAAAAAAUAAUUAGGAAAGUGUAUUAAAUAAUUGUGUGCAUUGAGUUCAGCUGGAUGCCUUCCUGAAUCUCUUUGUAUAAAAAAGCAGUGGGUUUUCACCGUUGGAUUAGCGUAUGAUCCGGAUAAAUCUGUCCCAAGAUUUCCAAAUUUUGACUGUUGCCCAUCACACUCCACAAGUCCACAGUAGUCAGAUAGAUCAUAAACAGAAAAGGUUUCUGUACUCUUCGAUUUCGAGUGAAGACUGAAGAAGACGAGGAGCAUUUCAUCUCAUAAGUACCACGCAGCUCCAAAGACCAGCGAUUCUAAUAUGAUAUCCAAGCACAAAGUAACACUCAUGGCGAUGAGGAUGAUGGCGCAGCAGCCACUUGGUUCGGGCUCUACACUAGAUCAGCCGAACCAAACACUCUCUCCCACUGCUAGUGGGAACAAGGUGAUGAGAAUGUGUUCCAGAUUAUUAGGUGUAUGUAUGCUAUGGGCUUGUAAUUGUGCUGACCUGUGAGUGUGGAUAGGAAAGAUUUUAAACAAGGUUGGGGCAUGUGAUGUCAGAUUGUAAACCCUAGUCACAGGACACAACGUUUCUCCUUGGAAGAGAAAUUUUGUUGAUUUUAUAAUGAUCUUUGUGUAUUAUUUAUCCCAUACCUUUAUUUUGAUUAUCUGUUUUUGAGAUCUUUUUACUGUCAACCACUUGGGGACUCUCCGGACUUAGGACGUAAAGAAUUUCACCCGUGGUCGGGAGUUUGAUCCUAAGUUGGCACUACUAUUUUCAAAUGAUUUGCACUGGGUCUCGCCCAAGUUUGGGCUUGGUGAGCCGUCCAAAGGCUCAUGUGGCCUAUUUUAUUCUGAGGUAGAUUAUGUUGUAUUGACCUUAGUUUUGGUUGUGAAAGUGUUAUGUACAAGCAUGGAAUCGUGUAUAUGCCAUUACAUUUUCCAUCAUAGCAACCUCAAUUAAGUGUCACUCCUCUUUCACAGUGAAAGAAAUAGAGUAAAAUGCAAAUAACAUUAAUCUGUUUCUUGUUCUCCUAAUAAUGAGAUGGUGUUGAC